GACGAACGCUGGCGGCGUGCUUAACACAUGCAAGUCGAGCGGUAAGGCCCUUUCGGGGGUACACGAGCGGCGAACGGGUGAGUAACACGUGGGUGACCUGCCCUUAGCUCUGGGAUAAGCCUGGGAAACUGGGUCUAAUACCGGAUAUGACUCCAUGACGCAUGUUGUGGGGUGGAAAGCCUUGUGCGGCUAGGGAUGGGCCCGCGGCCUAUCAGCUUGUUGGUGGGGUGAUGGCCACCAAGGCGGCGACGGGUAGCCGGCCUGAGAGGGCGACCGGCCACACUGGGACUGAGACACGGCCCAGACUCCUACGGGAGGCAGCAGUGGGGAAUCUUGCGCAAUGGGCGAAAGCCUGACGCAGCGACGCCGCGUGGGGAUGACGGCC
rnacentral:rRNA from 1 species